GGUUGUGAUAAAUCGGUUCCGUGUCGUCAUAAUCGCAAGUGUUGCAGGCAGUUAUGAGGAGAUGGAGAGCGUGCAGACUUGUUUCCUUCCUCUAGCCUAUGAUGCAGAUUCUUCAUCUGUUUGUUAUCGUUCUCAUGGUGUACAUAACAGACGAAGGUCUGCAUCAUAGCCAAGAGGAAGCAAAUCUUAAUACCUGGCUCGAAUUUGGCCUGCACGCAAUUUU
rnacentral:pre_miRNA from 1 species